UCGAAUGGGUAUAUUAUCCCGCUCGACCUUAGUCGAGUCGGUAUGAAGUUUCGCUCAACCAUAGUUGAGUCAGUAUAUCAUUCUGCUCGAUCUUAAUCGAGUAGGCAUAUAGUUCCACUCAACCUAGUUGAGUUGGCAUAUGUAGUCAUCCGACCUGUACUAUUAUGUAGAUUCGAUCAACCCGAGUUGGCAUGUAGAUUAGCCGAUAGGUCAUCGAUCAGA
rnacentral:lncRNA from 1 species